UCUUGAGUGGGUUUUAUGUGAAAGAAGAUGGACUUCCUUCAGGCCUACAAUAAAGUGACACUGACUUAAGAAAAACAAAAUAUCAUUUAUUUUUAUACACAAGAAGAUAUAAAAUUUCUACGAAUGAGCAGAUUUGGGUUUGAACAUUAAACUCCAUCAUUCACAUGCUGCAUUGUUCAGUAGCAUGUGUUUAAUUUUAUCAUAAAUUAUCAAGUACUUUAAAAAACAUGUAAAAUCCUGUUUUCUGACUUUUGUAAUUCAGAUAACAUUCUGGAAUGGGACACACACACACACAGACACACACUUAUAUCUCCCUAAAACCACUGCAUUAGUUAGGAUCUUCAGGGAACAGUCACCCAGAUAACCUAAAGUAAUAUAAGUUUAUUGUAAGAUCAUAUGUCUCAAACCGAGGUAGCCAUAUCUCAAGGGAUUACAUGGCAUUAGCCAAAAAUUAUGAGAAGUAACUGAAACAAAAAAUAUGCCAUGUCUCUCUAAAUUAUCCAUUUUAAAUGAAUACAACAUUUUUAAUAAAAAAUAAUACCAGUUCUCUUCCUGCCACCACUUGAAGAAGGACGUGUUUGCUUCCCCUUCUGCCGUGAUUCUAAGUUUCCUGAGGCCUCCCCAGCCAUGCUGAACUUGAUCAUGCCUGUAUGGCUACACCCCUCUCUGCCUUGUUGAGGCCUGAGUUAAUUCCUCUUUUUCUCAUCACUUCCAGUUUUUAAAAAUCUCUUCUGUUUCCAUGGUAAUUGUAUAUAUCAACAAGGACUUUGAACACUCUCCAUUUUCUUGGAUUUAUUGAAUCUGAUGUGGUUAAUAAUGCUUGGGAAAACUUCUCAAAAAAAACUCUCACAAACACAGCAAAUGCAUUGAUGGUGAACAGCACAGUUUUUGAGUUCAAAAGGCAGCAGUGUACAUUCCAUAUCAUCUGCUGUUACCAUGUAGUAUGUUCUCACAGGAGAGCUUGGGAUUUUAUCUGUGAAUAUCCAUAGGUUGAAAGUUGGUAAGCAAAAGAACAUCUGUAACUAACCUACUCUUUUUCUGCAGGUUUGCAGAGUUUAGCAAUGCACUGUGGCUAAGACAGCUAUAUAACCAACUGGAUGUAGUUCUUAGUGAUACCACACUCAGUCAUUUUCAGUUCUGCUUUCCUUUCGUUUUCCUUUUUUCCUUCUCAUUUUCUCUCUUUCUAUCAUACAUCAAGUUAAAGAAUGUCUUUAUAUGCUGCCAUAGACAAAUAUAUAUGAACCAGGUAGACCAAGAAACUAAGUAGUACACAAAGUGGCCAAACCCAGUAAAAGCCUAUAACUUCUACACGUUUUACACAUACACACACACACACCACACUCAUUUAAUUCCCUCAACACCUCUACUCUAUAAAAAUUUUAUGCCUCCCCUUUUUUUGGUUUAGUAAACAAAUUCAGGUAGGCUCAGUCAUUUGACCAAUGACAAACAACUAGAAUAUGGAGCAUGAAUUUGAAUUUGGGAGAUAAUUGGUACAAAGUAAAUAAAAAUCAAUAUUGUCAUUAUUGUCUACUUAGAUAACAAUGCAGUGUCUUCAUUCAUAAUGGAUUGCAGUUCCCCACUCAGGAAGAGGACAUUUUUUUUAAAACUACAUGAUACAACUGAGAGCUUGGAAGCUAUCCAUGCAUAAGUUUUAAAACCCAGCAGCUUCAUGGUUUCCUCCUUCUGUUGGCCUGGCCAGUGGACACAGUGGUCACGUUCCUGGCAUGGAGAUGUCAUUCAUGGUCUCUCAGACCCAAGUGUUACCAGUGAAGGGUGUCCAGGUUCUUGGCGCUUUGAACAAAGAAUUGGACAAAACUCACAAACAAAGCAAGAAAAGAAAGAAGCAACAAAAGCAGAGAUGUAUUGAAAAUGAAAACACACUCCACAGGGUGGGAGCAGGCCGAGCAAGCAGCUCAAGGGCCCAGUUACAGAACUUUCUGGGGUUUAAAUACCCUUUAGAAGUUUCCAUUGGUUACUUGGUGUACACCCUAUGUAUAUGAAGUAGUGGCCUGUGAUCAGUCUGAUUGGUUGGAAGGGACCAAUCAGAAUGCAAACGUCUGAUUAGUUGUGGAAAGUGACCAAUUAGAGGCUGAAGUGAAGUUACAAAGUAAUACUCCCACGCAAAUGAAGACUUGGCCCACAACCAACCUGAUUGGUUGUGAGAGGGGACCAAUCAGAGGGACUUUCAGUUUUUCACCUGCAAUGCAGAAAAAGGGUGGCAGGUGAGGGGUGUUGCAAAGGGAGUAGCCUCUGGUCCUUUUGUUACUUGGGCACUUGGGCGUGGAAAGUGGGGGUUUUCCUUUUGAUUUAGUUCUAGGAAGUCAGCGUGAAUUGGCCUUACAUUCCCUGCCUCCAGACCCUAUUCUCCUGCCUCACAAGUGCUCCUAGGAGCUGUACAUGCCUGUCUUUGUCCCCAUGUAGUCAGCUCGUUACAGGUGGGUCCUGCUGGGUCUUUCGUUCUUGCUUCUCUGCUUCAAGAUGGCUAAUAAGUCCUGGUCCAGUGAGUCCCCAGUGCAGACAUAGAGCAGAAGGGAAGUGGGUCCAGUUGCAUUUCCUGCAGUUUAAUAAAGAACCCUGUGCUCUCUGGCCCAUUACCUAAAGCUGAUAUUGUGCUUGGAACGUGUAGUGUUAUCCAAUCCAGCUUUACCACUGCUAAAGCUGAUACCACGCUUUGAUCCUCUGCUUGCUCAUUUUGCCAAGUUCUUAACUGCGUGGAACUGGAAGGUGAGGGCUGGAUGAUUGAUUUUUCACCCUGCCCCCAAACUCCAACGGGGCUGGACCCCAAAAAUUCAUGCUCAAUGAAAUGAUUUUCACUUACUGAGAUGAAUUUACUUUUUGCUUCCUUCAGCAAUUCAUCAAUCUAAUGGAAGAAAGAGUAGCUAUCAUCAUAAUGAGAAUAGACUUCUACGAGUAUGAGUCAAUGUCAAUACUUUAUUUAAUAAUGCAAAUUCUAUUACUAUAUAUUUGGUCUCAAUCCAAAUUUGCUUUAAAUUGAGUUUCCUUGCCAUUGCACACUCCUAUCUUUCUGAACACACACCACCCCACACACACACCAUACACACUUGUUUCAUUGCGCUUCAUUUUAUUGCACUUCUCGAAGAAUGUGUUUUUUACAAAUUGAAGAUUUGUGGCAACUUUUCAUCGAGUGAGUCUAUUGGCAUCAUUUUUGCAAGAGCAUAUGCUCACUUCCUGCCUCUGUGACAGCAUUUUUUAGCAAUAACAUAUUUUUAAUGAAGGUAUGUACAUUGUUUUUUAGACAUAAUGCUAUUGCACACUUGACUAAAAUGUAGCCUAAGUAUAAUUUUUAUAUGCCAUGGGAAACUAAAAAAAGUGACUUACUUUAUUGUAAUAUUUGCUUUAUUACUUUGGUCUGGAACUGCCUCACACUAUCUCUGAAGUAUGCAUGUAUAGCUUUUCAUAACACAGAUAUCACAUUUGACCAGAUCCUAUUGUUACUGAACAAUGUUGAUGCUAACAUUGAUGAUAUCAAUCACUAUUACUGGAAUCAUUAUCAACAUAUCAAUAAAUAUUUUUAGAACAUUUCUGCCUCAGCCUCCAGAGUAGCUGGGAUUACAGGCGCAUGC
rnacentral:lncRNA from 1 species